GUGCUCGCUUCGGCAGCAUAUAUACUAAAAUUGGAAUGAUUCAGAGAAAAUGAGCCGCUGCUCAAGGAUAACCUGCAAAUUCAUGAAGCAUUCCAUGUUUUA
rnacentral:snRNA from 1 species